GAAAAAAAAGCUCAUUCAGGAUUCCGGGGAGGAUUCAAUGAUGACUUCCUCCCUGGCGGGUGGACGAAUGAUGAGGCUGGUCACAAGCAGAAUGUGGAAUUUCUCUAUGGCAAACCUCAUCAUUCGUCUACGCGCCGUGAAGGAAGUCCCCAUUGAAUCCUCCGCGGAAUCCUGAAGGAGCUUUUUCUUGAAAGAUGUUGCAGUGGGGGAAGACGAAAAUCCCAAUUUGUGACUGAAAUUUAUAUAAUAUUCAUGCGGAGGGGCAAAUAGUUAUCGUCAUAACUUUGAUAGCUAAUCCCUUUUAAACCCUUUAAGCCUCGAUAGAUCACGACGUCCUUGGGGAGACUCAGGGGCUUGUUCUUAAAGGAAUAGGGGAGAUAUUUGGUUCAUGCUCUUCUCUCCUGAUCCAUAGUACUGCUUUAUGGUCUCCAUGGCCCUCGUUAUGGCUUCCCUGCUCCCGGAUCCACGCGAAGUGCUGCAUAAUUCCUUUUCCGACAAAGCUGUUUUUUCUGCUCCCUCAAGGAUAAAUAUAUUAUCUAAGCUUCAGUCACAAAUUGGGAUUUUCGUCUCCCCCGGCUACAGCAUAUUUCUCUCAAUAAACCUCGAGCCCAUCUCCACCUACUAGACGACCACUGGCUGUUACUCAGAGCACCAUCAAGGUCACCAUAAAGUUGGUGAUCAGGAAGCCAAAGGAGAACCUCUCGCCAUUCCUUUACAAUCUCGUCAACAAAGUCAUGAGGGCGCACAAAUUUGAUCCCGCGAAGGCCAAGCUAGCUUCAUUCACUCUAACGGUAACGAUAACGGUAUCUUAUUUUGGCUACGGGAUUCGCAGAGGCGACACAUGACAAAAUCGCAUUGUAUUGAAAAGUUGUGAAAAAAAUUGAUUGCUGUGGUGUGGUGGUCAGGAGUGCCAGGGAGCACCCCACAUCCACAUCAGUAACGAACAGUGAAAGUGUAGAGAGCCAUGGAACGUUCGAAGAGAAAAACAGUCUGUGAGAAGACAAAUCUCACUCAGGAUUCCCAAGAGGAUACACUGAGGACUUCCUCCCUUGGACGUUGGCGAAUUAUUAGGCUGGCCACAUGGAGAGGGAACAGCAGAAACUUGUCGGCAAAGCAGAUAUGCAACACUUCGCGUGGAUCCGGGAGCGGGGAAGCCAUGAAGAGGGCCAUAGGCACCAUCAGGCAGCACCAUGGAUCAGAAGAGAAGAGUAGGAUCAAAAUGUCUGCCAUAUCCCUUGAAGAACAAGCCCCGAAGCUUCUAAUUUUCGUGAGGUGUCGAGGCUCCAAGCAGCUUUCUUCUCCAUCGGCUACAACAUCUUCACCAAGAAGCCGUUGGUAGGAAUAGCACCUCAGCAUCUCAGCAUUUUUCAGAAAACGUGGUGAGUCGCAAUACACAUUUUAAUAAUUAACAACAUUGCAUUAACUGCAUGUCAGUAUAAUUUUUUAACGAUUUGCAAAUAGAUAAUAAUAUAUUAUAUUUGCUAUUCUAAGUGCAAAGCAAUAAAAUAAGUUUUGUAAGAGAAGAGAAUCCGUGAAAAAUCCAUUACAUGUUUUCUGUUUUAUAAGAAAACUUUUCUUUAUAAUUUUAAACGUAAAACUUGAGCGAAAACCGCUUAAUCGCGAUAAUUCCCUAAUGCUUUAUAGAUAACUAUUUAAAUUUUUUAUUUAGUGUUCUAAGUGCCAAAGGAAGAAUAUAAUUUUGAAGGUAUAACACAAAUACGAUUAAAAUUUAGAUUUUGUAUGUAAAAACAAUGCAAAAAAAUGUACCGCUCACAGGAUUUGAACAGUCGGAUACUAAAAAUAAUGAUAUGUUAAAGCGGGUGUUAAAGGAAAGCAAUUGUUCAGCUCGGAAAACAAUUGCAGGGUUUUGAAAUAGCCGCGUAAAUGUUUUAACGUUCGAAAACAAUUGCAAAGUUUGGAUUUUCCCGCCUAAGCAAAGUGAUUUAAAUGUGUUGAAUCCGGUUUGUGUCUUGGUUGAAAAAUUUGCCGCUUUUAACAUUUGAAGUGUUUGAAAUGUUCAAAUGUCCUUACACUUAAGAACUAUACUUCAGUCGAGCUAAAUUUAGAUAGUUAUAAAUUCAAGUUAAAUCUCCUAAAUAAGCGUUUAUAUACUAGGAUACUCAAUGAAUAUGCAUCUCAAACAUAUUAAAUGAAUCUGAUAGUAAAAUUUGGUGUGGUCGUGUUGGUUAACAUUCAAGAAAAACUGCAUUUCAUUCAAUAGUAAUAUGCAAAUUCUGUCCAAAAGAAAAAUAGGUAAUAAAAAAUAGUUGUUAAAAGGAAAAAAAAGAGGGGUGUGUGUGUGGGAAGAAAAAAAAGGGGGUAACGACGAAUAUAUAAGAAUUAUCAGAGGUUAAAAGUGGGAGAGGGGGGGGUAACAAUAAUUAAAUAUAGAAUUAGGAAAAAAGAAUUAGGAAGGGAAAAAAAGGGCAAGGAAAAAGACAGGAAGAAGAAGAGGAGGGAGAUAAGCAGAGAGAGAGAAGAAAAGAGGAAAAAGGGAAGGGCAAAGAAAGGAGGAGGAAAGAGGGAGAAGGAGGAACAGAGAGAGAGAAAGGAAGAGCAAGG